rnacentral:rRNA from 1 species
UACGGAGGGUGCAAGCGUUAAUCGGAAUUACUGGGCGUAAAGCGCGCGUAGGCGGCUUGUUAAGUCGGAUGUGAAAGCCCUGGGCUCAACCUAGGAAUUGCAUUCGAUACUGGCGAGCUAGAGUAUGAUAGAGGGUGGUGGAAUUCCUAGUGUAGCGGUGAAAUGCGUAGAUAUUAGGAGGAACAUCGGUGGCGAAGGCGGCCACCUGGGUCAAUACUGACGCUGAAGUGCGAAAGCGUGGGGAGCAAACAGGAUUAGAUACCCUAGUAGU